UUCUGCCUAUUUUUAAAAAAAUAUUUUCAUGGUCCUGGUGCAGUGGCUUACGCCCAUAAUCCCAGCACUUUAGGAGGCCGAGGUGGGCAGAUCACCUGAGUCCAGGAGUUUGAGACCAGCCUAGCCAACAUGGCAAAACCCCGUAUCUACUAAAAAUACAAAAAUUAGCUGGGCGUGGUGGCAGAAGCCUGUAGUCCCAGCUACUCGGGGGGGCUGAAGCAAGAGAAUUGCUUAAACCCGAGAGGUGGAGGUUGCAGUGAGCUGAGAUCACACCACUGCACUUCAGCCAGCCUGGGCGACAGAACAAGACUCGGUCUCAAAAAAAAAUUUUUUUUUUCAUAAUAAAAACUAAAAACAAAUAAGGGGAGGAUGGAAUGAUCAGUCCUGCUUCUUCACUCCCUUGUAGUAGAAUUAUGCAUUCACAUCCUUGACUUGGGGCAUAGCUAUGGGACUUGCUUUGAUCAGUGGGAUGUCAGGGGAUAUGGAGUGAGUAGACUUGAACUGUGCUUGCACAAUGAACUUGCUCUCUUUCACUGCUGAAGUCACCCUGGAAGGAACACGCCUCAGGUAGCUUGCUGGGCCGAGGUUGAUAAGAAACAUGUGAAGCAAACCUGGACCCAACUCACAGCCCAGACGCCAGCCAGCUAAUCCAAGCCUGGAUCUGGUGAACCCCCACAGACCCACAGAGAUGUGAGCAAAACAAAUGCUUAUUGUAGAAUGCCACCAGGAUUGCGGGGCUGCUUGUUACACAGCCUGAUUAUGGCACUCACUAACUGAUAUAGGGAGUUUCUCAGGAAACCCAAGAGAAGCCACUAGUCAGUAUUGUGACUGACAGUGGCACUCUGGUUAACCUAUGCAGAAAAGGAAUUCAGUGGGGGUAACCGUUAGCAUAGAAUGGGCUGCAUAGGGUAUCGAGGCUGGAUACUCACUGCAUGCUGUGACACAGUGCUGUCUGGCUCUACCACAACCCUUGGGAACAAUCCUAAAUUACUCUUUUUUUAUUUUUUAUUUUUUUUUGAGACAGAGUCUUGCUGUGUCGCCCAGGCUGGAGUGCAGUGACCUGAUCUUGGCUCACUGCAACCUCCACCUCCCAGGUUCAAGCGAUUCUCCUGUCUCAGCCUCCCGAGUAGCUGGGAUUAUAGGUGUGCACCACCACACCUGACUAAUUUUUGCAUUUUUAGUAGACACAGGGUUUCACCAUAUUGGCCAGGCUUGUCUCAAACUCCUGGUCUCCAGUGAUCCACCUGCCUCGGCCUCCCAAAAUGCUGGGGUUACAGGCGCAAGCCACCACACCUGGCCCCUAAAUUACUCUUGAACUUGGCAUCUCAUCUUCACGAUUAAACAUUCAGGUGGAAGCAUUUAAUGUAAUCAUUUUGGUCACAUUCCCAGGAGUCAGUUUUCAGAGCCUGGGAAAGGGAGCAGGGACCCCCAGGACCCUACCUCCAACGUAGAAAGGGUAUUUGGACACCAGGCAACCAAAAGGGCAAAUGGCUACCACUGGCAGGAAUGCAGGAGGGGCUGAAGACAGGUGUGAGCUCUCGGCAGGAGUUGGGGGGCCUGAUCCUACCUCCUGCUGUUCCCCCAUGUCCCCUCUGUUUUGAACUCAGAGCUUCGGACAAGAGCCCCCUCCUGCUGUCUGAAGGGCACCAGUGUGGCUGCCCGCUGCUCCCAGGUUCCACGUGCCUAGCUUCAGCCACCUGGAGGGAGACUGAUUCCUCUUCCUCAUUCCAGUUCUCAUUUCUGGAGCCAAGUGAACGCCAUUCGGAGAAAUGUCCCUCGGCUUCCACUGUCUCCAGGCAAAGGGUAGGAAGGAGUGGUUCCCAGAGGCCGAGAUGAGGACUCAGAUGAAGCCACAGGUGUCUGCAGCUGUGUGGAGCUCUGGCAGAUGCAGGCGGAGACUUGCCUCUGACAUAGGGAGUUGUUGACGUCCCAGCUAAGUCAGCUCCGCUCACCAAGGGGUCCAGGAAGGCACCUGACUCUCAGGACCGCUGGCGUCUUGUAUGUGUCAAUCACCCAACAGACCAGGAAUGCAUGGCAGUACACACCGCCUCUGCUCCUGCCAGGGCCCUGGCAGGAGCGUGACAAAUAUUUGUUGUGGAAUUAGGUUCUUAAGCGAUGACGCUCUGCCCAGGGAUCCCAGGGCAGCUCGGCAAGUGGGCGUGCCUCAGCAGGUGCCAGUUGUCCUUCUGUUCCCAGGAAGGGGCUCUUGGGUUCCUAAUCAGACGGCACAUGGCCGGGAGCAGUGGCUCACGCCUGUAAUCCCAGCACUUUGGGAGGCCGAGGCGGGCGGAUCACCUGAGGUCAGGAGUUCGAGAGGAACCUGUCCAACAUAGAGAAACCCCAUCUCUACUGAAAAUACAAAAUUAGCCAGGCGUGGUGGUGUGUGGCUGUAAUUCCAGCUACUCGAGACGCUGAGGCAGGAGAAUCACUUCCACCCAGGAGGCAGAGGCUGCAGUGAGCCAACAUUGCGCUAUCGCACUCCAGCCUGGGCAACAAGAGCAAAACUCUGUCUCAGAAAACAAAACAAAACAAAACAAAACAGAAGACCCAGCCAGGGUCUUGUCUCUGCUUCCAGCGGGGGCAAGCGCUCACCACAGAGAGGCCUGAACCCCAUGCGUGCCUACAUCACCUCUCGGUCUCCAGGCCCGCCCAUGCUACUCAUUAAACUAGGCCUUUCUGUUGCAGCCUGUCCUGCAGGUCCCCAAAUGUGGGACCUUCCUUCAUCCUGCCAUCCUAGACCUUGGAAUCAGCAG
rnacentral:lncRNA from 1 species